AGAGUUUGAUCCUGGCUCAGAGCGAACGCUGGCGGCAGGCUUAGCACAUGCAAGUCGAGCGGGCGUAGCAAUACGUCAGCGGCAGACGGGUGAGUAACGCGUGGGAACAUACCUUUUGGUUCGGAACAACACAGGGAAACUUGUGCUAAUACCGGAUAAGCCCUUACGGGGAAAGAUUUAUCGCCAUUGGAGCGGCCCGCGUCUGAUUAGCUAGUUGGUGGGGUAAAGGCCCACCAAGGCGACGAUCAGUAGCUGGUCUGAGAGGAUGAUCAGCCACACUGGGACUGAGACACGGUCCAGACUCCUACGGGAGGCAGCAGUGGGGAAUUUUGGACAAUGGGCGCAAGCCUGAUCCAGCAAUGCCGCGUGAGUGAAGAAGGCCUUCGGGUUGUAAAGCUCUUUUGUCAGGGAAGAAACGGUGUGGGCUAAUAUCCUGCACUAAUGACGGUACCUGAAGAAUAAGCACCGGCUAACUACGUGCCAGCAGCCGCGGUAAUACGUAGGGUGCAAGCGUUAAUCGGAAUUACUGGGCGUAAAGCGUGCGCAGGCGGUUUUGUAAGUCUGUCGUGAAAUCCCCGGGCUCAACCUGGGAAUGGCGAUGGAAACUGGCGGGCUGGAGUAUGGCAGAGGGGGGUGGAAUUCCGCGUGUAGCAGUGAAAUGCGUAGAGAUGCGGAGGAACACCGAUGGCGAAGGCAGCCCCCUGGGCCAAUACUGACGCUCAGGCACGAAAGCGUGGGGAGCAAACAGGAUUAGAUACUCUGGUAGUCCACGCCCUAAACGAUGCUCACUAGGUGUUGGGGAAGCGAUUCCUUGGUACCGUAGCUAACGCGUGAAGUGAGCCGCCUGGGGAGUACGGCCGCAAGGUUAAAACUCAAAGGAAUUGACGG
rnacentral:rRNA from 1 species